rnacentral:misc_RNA from 1 species
AACGCAAAUUGCACUUCCUGGCAUUCCGGGAAGUAUGCCUGUUUGAGGGUCAGUUUAAAUAAAUAUCGUGGUGUUGCUUUUUGUGACGCUUCGGAAUUGGGUCAUCUUGAUCAUCUGGGUUAAGCGACCUAAAAUUGAUGUAUCUCUGUGCAUCUCGGACGUACAUAAGAAUUUUUUUUCCUAUCCGUCAGGGUUGCCAGGUGCUUAUUAGGUAUAUUAGGUAUGAUCACGUUGUUUGUGAAAUCUCUGUACCUAUAACAUAACUCAUAUUUUGACCUCAAAUCAGGUAGGAAUACCCGCUGAACUUAA